rnacentral:rRNA from 1 species
UGUCUAAGAAUAGUAAUUCUUACGAAUCUGCAGACAGCUCAUUAAAUCGAUUUUAAUCCAUUUGGGAAUGAUUUCACUGCACGGAUAUCUGUGGUAAUUCUAGAGCUAAUACGUUACUAAAUCGGUACUUUUGUAUCGAGUAUUUAUUAGAUUUAUGUCAAUUUGACAAUUGGUGAUUCAUAAUAACUUGUCGGACCUUAUUUAUAAGGUAAUCCAUUCGAAAUUUCGCCCCAUCACGGUAUCGUAGUUUGUGUAGAGGACAAACUAGCCACUCACGGGUAACAGAGAGUCAGGGCUCGAUUCUGGAGAGGGAGCCUUAGAAACAGCUACCAUAUCUACGGAUAGCAGCAGGCGCGAAAAUUGGCCAUUGCUAACACAGCGAGCCAGUGAAAAAGCAUUUUCAGACUUUUAAUUUUAUAUUACUUGUCAUGAACAUGAGAACAACCUAAAACAACUACCGAUGAUCUAGAAGAGGGCCAGUCUGGUGCCAGCAGCCGCGGUAAUACCAGCUCUUCAAGCGUAUAUUAAUGUUGUUGCAGUUGUAUGCUCCUAGUCUAUUUUCUGUUGCACUUUUUCGGGGUUCUUUUGCGAAAGCAAUUGUAUACUCUUGUAAAGCCAACUUCCUUGUAUUUGGCUACUUUAUUGUACGCCGUAAUGCAUCUUUGACUGAGACUAAAUCGGAAUGUUCCAUGUAUACUUACGUACGAACGAUUCAGCUUGGAAUUAUACUCUAGGAUUUUGAUACUUUGGCUAGUAUCAAAAUAAUAAACGAUAGGAACCGACGGGGGUGCUUGUAUUUGAAAGCCAGAGGUGAAAUUCUCGGAUUUUUCAAAGACAGUCUCAUGCGAAAGCGUUCACCAAGAAGGUUUCCUUUGAUCAAGAACGAAAGUUGGGGGAUCGAAAACGAUCAGAUACCGUUGUAGUCUCAACCAUAAACUAUACCAUUUCGAGAUUUGCAUUCUGAUUCUUUUAUCAAAUGUAAGCAUCGUACGAGAAAUCAAAAUAUUUGGGUUCCGGGGAGAGUAUUGUCGCAAGGCUGAAAUUUAAAGGAAUUGACGGAAUCGCACCACAAGGAGUGGAGCCUGCGGCUUAAUCUGACUCAACACGGGAAAACUUACCAGGUCCAGACUGAAGUAGGAAUGACAGACUGAAGAUUUUUCAUGAUUUUUAAAGUGGUGGUGCAUGGCCGUUCUUAGUUGGUGGAGUGAUUUGUCUGGUUGAUUCCGUUAACGAACGAGACCAUUGUUUUAUGUUACGUUGUUUGGUUGUUUUUUCAACCAACAAGUUCAUAAAAGACAGGCGGGUAUCAACCCGCAGGAAGUCAAUGGCAAUAACAGGUCUGUGAUGCCCCUCGAUGUCCUGGGCUGCACGCGCGCUUCACUGAUUAGUUCAACAUGUUUAGGUUGGUCGAGAGACUUGCCGAAUCACUCAAAACUAACCGUGACUGGAAUUGACGUUUGCAAUUAUUCGUCAUGAACGAGGAAUUCCUUGUAAACAUGCGUCACCAACGCAUAUUGAAUACGUCCCUGCGAUUUGUACACACCGCCCGUCGCUGGAACCGAUGGGACUGGUGUUGAGUUUUUUGGAAGUUGAUUAUUUAUAAUUAGCCGAAGAAACGCGAAAUGUCAGGCCUAGGGGAACCAAAAGUCGUAACAAGGUUUCC